UACCAGACUCCUACGGGAGGCAGCAGUGGGGGAUAUUGCACAAUGGGGGGAACCCUGAUGCAGCGACGCCGCGUGGGUGAAGGAGUAUUUCGGUAUGUAAAGCCCUAUCGGCAGGGAAGAAGCAAGACGGUACCUGACUAAGAAGCCCCGGCUAACUACGUGCCAGCAGCCGCGGGAAUACGUAGGGGGCGAGCGUUAUCCGGAUUUACUGGGUGUAAAGGGAGCGUAGACGGCAUGGCAAGUCAGAUGUGAAAGCCCGGGGCUCAACCCCGGGACUGCAUUUGAAACUGUCAGACUGGAGUGCAGGAGAGGUAAGUGGAAUUCCUAGUGUAGCGGUGAAAUGCGUAGAUAUUAGGAGGAACACCAGUGGCGAAGGCGGCUUACUGGACUGUAACUGACGUUGAGGCUCGAAAGCGUGGGGAGCAAACAGGAUUAGAUACCCGAGUA
rnacentral:rRNA from 1 species